AGGGGAGGCAUGGGUUCGAAUCCCAUGGCAAGCAAGGAGCAUUUAUUUUGCUAACAGGGGGCGACAAGAGUUGGUGUUGAAUUUAAACUCUGAUGAUGGAGGGAUCCCACAUCAGGAAGCUAACAUAAGAGGGGAUGCGAAGCUGGCUUUAAAUAGAGAGAACCAUGAGGAGAGUAGAGGUACCUUUCUUGGCUGAUCCCUUUUGUUGUAUGGCGUGCUCGUUUGGGUUGGGCGUCGGCUAAGAGUGCUCGGAGCGUGGAUUAACUCUAGUCUCCUAUCAGGUAAUCCCUAAGCUUAGAUGGUUUGGAGCUGCGAGGGACUCGGAGAUGGCCACACUACUGUUUCUGUUUCUUUUAAUUGCAAUAAGUAGCCGAUUUAUUUCUUUAUAAGUUUUAUCUUAUUAAUAUUAUUAUUUGGUUUUGGGUUGUAAUAAGGCCAUUUUAAUUAUUUUUCUGGGAUUAUUUUAUUUUAUACCCUAUAUUUUACUGAUAACAAUCCAAAAUGGGUUAGACUUAGGCCGCGUUUUCAAAA